rnacentral:rRNA from 1 species
GGGCGAGCGUUGUCCGGAAUUAUUGGGCGUACAGGGUACGUAGGCGGCCUUUUAAGUCAGGUGUGAAAGCGUGAGGCUCAACCUCAUUAAGCACUUGAAACUGGAAGGCUUGAGUGAAGGAGAGGAAAGUGGAAUUCCUAGUGUAGCGGUGAAAUGCGUAGAUAUUAGGAGGAAUACCGGUGGCGAAGGCGACUUUCUGGACUUUUACUGACGCUCAGGUACGAAAGCGUGGGGAGCAAA